AUAAUGUGCCAGGUAUUCCGUUACAACUUCUGGCUCAAAACUUGUCCUAGUAAAGGUAAACUUGACAGUGAAACAUUAAGCAACCUUGACCUGAAUGUCUCAUCAUGAAAUAGAUAUUAUCUGAUCCACAAACCAUCAAGUAGGAUAUUCACAGCAAUACUUCAUUGAAUAGGUUUAGAAAGAACAAGUAAACUGCACAAGCAGGUGUUUCAGAAUGCCAAUGUAUUGUGCUUCUUUUGCUGCCUCUCUCACAACUCUUUAUGACAGUGAGCAGAUGCCCAUCAUUAAAAGAGAAGGCAAAAUCAUGGGCUUAAUCUAUAACUAGGUCAGCAAGAUACACUACCAAGAGCCAGAAGUAGAAUUUAAAGCCUGAUUCAAAAGACCAAGUGGAAGUUGAACAUGAUAGCUAAUUCCUGCAAUAACAGCUGCCUGGGAGGCUGAUGCAGAAGGAUUUCAAGUUUGAAGCUAGCUUGAGCAAAAUAGUAAGACACUGACUCAAAACAAAACAAAACAAACAAAAAAAAUGUUCAAGUAGGCCUAAGUUCAAGCAGUAACUGUUCAUGUUACUUAAAAAGAGAGAUGGUUGGCUUUGCAUGGCUUCCUACAGAAUGAAGCACCCUACCUGCCAGUGAUGAGCCCCCACUAUAGCACUAUGUUGGAUUAGCCAGUCAACUGUAGAUAGAUUCAUUACAUUGAAUCAUUCUUUCACCAGAGAGAAAGAUUUGUUUUCACAUAUUGCCUGUCUGCACUGUUUCUACCAAUAUUUACCUAUAUUGACAGAAUGUCUAGCACUUCUGAUUCUCAGUUCAGAUCAGGGUCACAUUUUGUGACACAGUAUUUAUGGAAGUGGAUUCACUACUACCAGAUUUGCUUGUCACAUGUCUCAUAACCCAGAAGCACUUGGCUUACUAGAAUGGCAUUAUGGCUGGUUCAGGACUCACUUGUGGAACCAGCUAAGAGACCAUAUCCUGAGAACUGGCAAAGAUGUUACUAAAAUUAUCCUAAAUCAGCAGCCAAAAUUUGGUGCCAUCUGCCCUGUAGCAUUAGGCAUGAGACUGAGAACAUAGGUGGCAAUGGUGAGGGUGCCCCUUUAACGAUAAAACCAAGAAACAAACAAAAAAAUACUAAGCAAUUCAUAUUUUCUGUUUUGGGGACCUUGAACUCUAUAUAUUUGUGUAUUAGUACCUGUGGGAAGAAUUCUUUCACCAGGGGAACAUACUCAUGACACCAUUGAAUUAGAUACUUAAGAGAGUCCAAUGGACGUUUUAGGCUCUUUAAUGACCCUGAAUAGACAGGCAGAGAAAGGAAUCACUGAAUAGGAUAGAUCUAAAAGGAAAUUUUGUUGGUGCUAUAUAAUGACACCAAAUAGUUGUUGUCAAAAUAACAAAGAAAAAACUAGCAAGGACUCAUAUCCCACAUGACAAAUACCACAGGAUUCAUAUAUCCCACAGGACAAAUAACCCAAUCAAGCUAAGGGUCCUGGAGCAGGUAAGAGGAGUGUGGAAUGUGGGGCAAAGGAAGAAGCUCUUCUGAUUAUUCACAACCAGGGACCAAGUGGGAAGAGCACAGCAAUAGUUUGUUUCCUUUUUACCUCCUAGUAACACAUAUAAACAACACUGGGGGGUGGAGCUAACUUUCUGGUUUCCGUUAGGAAUAGGACUAAAUUAAUAAUAUUAGUUAAUGGGACUAUGUUCAGGUUGAUCAUUUUUCAUCUCAGCAAAGAACAGAUGAAAGCCAACGUGAGUGGACUGUGCUGAAGAUAUUCUUUUCACCCUUCUAGGUUCAGCUUCCACCAUUCUCCACCCUGCUUGUGCCGUGGAACACUGAAUUGAGUGAACUACAUCAAUGGGCUUCCUUAUCUUUUAGUUUUGCUCAAUAAGGAGCAAUAAGGAGGAAGGAGAACGGUGAGGGUCUUACACUUGUGCAUCCGUUGAGCUGGAUUCCUGUUCCUCUUUUAUGAGAGUGUCCUUCACUCCCAUUCAACCUGACGAAUUUGUUAAGUGAGUGUGUAUGCAGAGUUUAACCUUGCCUAUGCUCCUCCUGGAGAGGAUUGGGGUAAACUGCUUUCCUCUUUCACAAUGGCUUUGUUGUUGUGUUUUGAGGAAUUUCGAAGGUUUUAACUUCUUCCAAGUCCAGGGAGCCUUUCUUAUCAAGUCAAAGGGAUCAGGACAUUCUGGAGCCAUCAUUUGCAUCCACCAUCUUCAUCUUCCAAUUUCAGAGGGAGAGCUUCCAAGGAUCAAAAGCACCAGUGAUCACAGACCCCACCAUUGCUUUGGCUCCACAGGCAACUGUUUACUGAAGCAUGGUGUUGUUGGCUACCAUCUCUGUUGGCCAGAAUGCAGAGUAUCAAGAUUUGCAUGCUAUUUAUUGUUAGCCCCAUCCUUGUUGUUUCUAACUGACCCCUGGCACCUAGUCCUCUCAGGUGCCCCAAGAUUUCCUGAGGUGAGCCCAGGAAUGGUGGAGAAACUGAAUCUUUACCUCUAAAAUUUACUAUCCCAACUACAGAAUUGUGAGUCUAAGAGAAUUCUCUGUGAGUGAUGCUUUGCCAUCUUGAAAAAGGGUGGCAAGUCCAACAGAACUCUUUCUCUUACCAUUUAAUUGUGACUUUUCUCAGCUCUGUGAUCCCAAGUUGGUAUAUUAGCUUCAGACACACAUCUUGGGGUAUUCAGGGUAAUACUUCAUAGGGACAGUUGCUACAUGGGUUUGUGUGUAGAUGGGUGAAGCUGAAGAACCACAUAUUCUGUCAUCUGGCUAAUAUUACUCUGGCUUUUCACUACCUUAGCAAUAUUAUUCAAAAAGUAAAAACUUGAUGAAGAUAAACUUAGGAUUUUUCUUAUUUUGUGAAUGACAUAUUUGGUGUUGUGCCUAGCAAAAAGUUUACAAACAUUCCCGCAUGUUCUUUUUUCUAAAAGUCUCAUAGUUUAAAUCAUUCAUUUGGAGUUAAUUACUGUAUAUGCCAUGAGAUAUGAAGGAGGUUCAUUUAUUUUUUCAGAUAAAUUAUGAAUUAUUCAGUAACAAUUAUUGGAAAGAGUAUGCUUUCUCCAUCUCAUUGUCUUCUUUUUAAUUUGUGUCAAAGAUCUUUUGACCUUAUAUAGAUAAAUAUAGUCUGUCCUCUUCCCUAUACCACAGUACCUUGAUUAUUAUAGCUUCAUAAAAACUAUGGGAUGGUGUUGUGGCUCAGGAGUAGAGCACUUGCCUUGCACCUGCGAGACCCUGGGUUCGAUCCUCAGCACCACAUAAAAUAAAUAAGUGAAAUAAAGGUAUUGUGUCCAACUACAACUAAAAAGUAAAUAUUUUUUAAACUAUUUAAAUCAAAUACUGUUGCAAUCCCAAGAUUUGUUCUUUUAUAUAUUAUUUGUUUUGCUACUGUUUUAUCUAUUAUUUUGCAUGUAUAUGCUUUAACUAUCCAUUUUGACUUUUUGAAUAAAUUGUAGAAUCAGCUUCUCGGCACUUUACAAAAUAUAUUGCUGGGCUGUUUAUUGGAACUCAUCAGAAUGUAUUCCCCUUAAUAUUGCUAAAAUCUUCAAUUCAAAAGAAAAACACAGUAUAUCUCUCCAUUUACUUAGGUCUUCUUUGAUUUCUUUCAUCAGUAUUUUAUAUGUUUUUGUAUACAAAUCAUUCCCAUUUUGCUUCAGCUUUCUAUCAUGUCUUUAGUGCUAAUACAUACAGUUUGUUUUAAUUCACAAAUGUUUUAGUGCUAGAAUACAAAAACAAGAAUUUUUGUGUGUUAACUUUAAAAUAGGCAAACUUGCUAAACUCACCUAUUAGUUAUAGUAGAUUUUUGUAGACUGAGUUUUUUAGAUAGAAAAUCACAAUCUACAUAAAGAGAAAUUUUUAUUCUUUAAUUUCCAAUCCUAAUUCUUUUUAUUUUCUUGUCUUAUUGAACAGGCUAAAAUCUCUAGUAAAAUUCUGAAUACAAAUGGUAAAAGCAAAUAUCCUUGUCUUGUUCUGAGUCAUAACAUUCGAUUUUUUUUUUUUUUUUUACCAUUUAACCAUGUUGUAAUAGUAGGGUAUUUGUAUAUGACCUUUCUCAGACUAAACAAACUCUGCUCUAUUCCUAAUUUUUUUAAAAUAUUUAUUUUUUUAGUUUUAGGUAGACACAAUAUCUUUAUUUUAUUUUUAUGUGGUGCUGAGAAUUGAACCCAGUGCCUCAUGCAUGCUAGGUGAGGGCGUAGUACCACUUGAGCCACAUCCCUAGCCCCUCUAUUCCUAAUUUGUUGAAAGCUUUUUACAUGACAUGAAUGUUAGGAUGUGUCAAAUGCAUUAUCUGUGUAUAUAUUGAGAUGAUCAUAUGGUUUGUAUUUUGAAGUGUGCUAGUAGGUUGGCUUAUAUUCAUUGAUUUUUAAUUUUAAAUUAAUCAUAUUCCUGGGAUAAAUCACUCAGUCAAGAUAUAGAAUGUUUUUUAUAUAUUAUUUGUUUUGCUACUGUUUUAUCUAUUAUUUUGCAUGUAUAUGAAAGAAAAAUUUUCUCUUUUUUUUCCAGUGUUGCCUAGUGUUCAUAUCAAGGUAAUUCUGGCAACAUAAAAUCCAUUAGGAAGUGUUUUUCCCCUUUUCAAUUUUCUGGAAGAGUUUAUUUAUAUAAACAUGAUAUUAUUUCCUCCUCAAAUGCUUAGCUUUCUGUACCUGUAAUUUUCUUCUUAAAAGGUUUUUAAUUCAAGAUUUUCUUCUAAGUAUAUGGAUAAAAGGGUAAGCUAUUUCUUCUUCAAUGAGAAGAGUAUGUGUCUUUGAAGAAAGUUGUUCAUUUCAACCAAAUAGCCAAAUUGUUUGUCAUUAGAUUGUUCACAAUAGCUCCUUAAAUUUUCACAAUGUUUAUAUCCUUUUGAUGAAUUAACAUUAUUACUAAAUAAACAUCAGUAUCCUUAAUAAAUUCUUAUCUUUGACAUCUUCACCUGAUAAUAAUAAAUUACUCCAACUUUACUUUUA